rnacentral:rRNA from 1 species
UGGGGAAUUUUGGACAAUGGGCGAAAGCCUGAUCCAGCAAUGCCGCGUGUGUGAAGAAGGCCUUCGGGUUGUAAAGCACUUUUGUCCGGAAAGAAAUCCUUGGCUCUAAUACAGUCGGGGGAUGACGGUACCGGAAGAAUAAGCACCGGCUAACUACGUGCCAGCAGCCGCGGUAAUACGUAGGGUGCAAGCGUUAAUCGGAAUUACUGGGCGUAAAGCGUGCGCAGGCGGUUUGCUAAGACCGAUGUGAAAUCCCCGGGCUCAACCUGGGAACUGCAUUGGUGACUGGCAGGCUAGAGUAUGGCAGAGGGGGGUAGAAUUCCACGUGUAGCAGUGAAAUGCGUAGAGAUGUGGAGGAAUACCGAUGGCGAAGGCAGCCCCCUGGGCCAAUACUGACGCUCAUGCACGAAAGCGUGGGGAGCAAACAGGAUUAGAUACCCUGGUAGUCCACGCCCUAAACGAUGUCAACUAGUUGUUGGGGAUUCAUUUCCUAGUAACGUAGCUAACGCGUGAAGUUGACCGCCUGGGGAGUACGGUCGCAAGAUUAAAACUCAAAUGAA